rnacentral:lncRNA from 1 species
CCUGACGCCGCGCCUGCCUGGGGACGCGGCGGCGGAACGUGAAGCCCCCCGGGCCUGGAGAGGCUGGGAUGGGGUCCGAGGUGGGGACGAAGGAGUUUGUGCUUCUCCCGGGCGGGGGGAAGGGACGCACAGGAUUCUCUCCCCGGAGGUCCAGUGUCAAGGUUUACCGCAGUCUCUCCCUCUUGGCUUCUAUCACCGGGUUGUGCCAACCUUCCUCUUCUUGACCAGGCAUUCAGCGUGUUAUGGCCUGGGUGUAAUACCACAGGUCUCCAAUAGGGGUCGCUGACUACAACAGGAUGGGACACCUGUAGUUGAACGGAGAGAACCCUGGGUCCUAACUUAACCUUGUCCUUGGCUUCCUCUAUGACCUCGGUUUCCUCAUCCAUAAAGUGGAUAUAACAGUCCCUAGCUGCCUUCCUCACAGAACAGUGGUGAGAAAUGUGAGGAUGAAAGUGAACACCUUCCAUUCAGAAGAGGCAGCUUCCAUCCAGAUGUUUUCAAAAAACCAGUCAUCCCAUAAUUACUUUUUGAGCGUCACUCACCGUGCCAGGUGCCAUAUGGAAUCCAGAAAUUACUUCUACCUUCGCAUAAAAGAACUUUGAAUAAAAGUUUAAAGCAAACUGUAACCCUGACAGUCGGGGGAGAGGCUCGAGCGCUCCCUGGUGGGUGGAAACAGCAGCAUCCCCUGCCCCGGGAAAGAUGAGGGGAUGUGAAGCAGCAGGACGUCUACUUCAGCCUGUGGCUGGAAGUCUCUCGCAUCCAGUAACUCAUCUCUUCCUCUCACAACCCGGUUUGCGCAUGGGGAAACCGAGGCACAGCGAAGCGAAGUGACCUGCCCGAGAACCUGGAUUCCAGGAACCUCCCAGCCAGCUAAUCCCAGAACAUGGAGUGGAAAGGGACAGCACGGGAAGACAAGUGACCCGAGCGGGCAGGGAGGGACGGAGAAGGGAGGACCUUCCUGUCCUGACACCCUGGCCAGGCAGACGGAGCUGAGGGCGGCCGCGGCGGCCAGCCUUCUGCAGGAGCGCCCCCUGCUGGUGACCGGUGCUGCCGCUUGUGGCGGCCGCGGGUGAAGGAGGAUGCUUAGCUCUGGGGGGGCUGUUCCCUAAGAGACAGGAGACCCCCACCAGAGCAGAGCAGGAAGGGCCCAGAGGCGUCGCCCCAACCUCUUCACUUUGCACAUGGCAAACGCGAAGCUCAGAGGAGGAAGUGACUCGCUCAAGGGCUCUCAGAGAGCCGAC